GUGGUAUCUCAAUGUGGUUUUAAUCUGCAUUUCACUAAUGACACUGGAGGUUGAACAUCUUUACGUAUGGUUAUUUGUCACUUAUAUAUUUUCUUUUAAGUGUUCAUUCACAUCAAUAUUUUUUGUUCAUUUCAAUAUCUUUUAAGAUCUUUUUUCCAUUUUUCUGUUUUUUUUAAUUAUUAAGUUUUGAGAGAUCUUUUUAUAUUCUGGAUAUGAACUCAAACUGACCACUUUAGGAGUCUAAAGUGGGACAGUCGCUUGAGCCCAGGAGUUUGAGACCAACCUGGGCAACAUAGUGAGACUCUGCCUCUACAAA